UAAGAUAAAACCAACUAUAUCAAAUAAGUAAUGUUCAUCAGGGCCUGGACAAAUCAUCAUGCAGAGGAUAUGGUGAGACAAAGCACAGAAACAAUCAAACCAGCUGUAGAAAUAUAGAAGAAAAUUAUAGCUUUAACAAAUGAAUGCUAGUAAUUAUAUUUCCAUCACUUUGUAUUAUGUUUGUCUUGGAAGAAGUUUUGUUCAGAAUUGGAACCAUUCUGAUUUCUAGAACACAGACAAAAGGACUAUUCAAAAGAAGCCCUAAUGGAAAGAAAAAGUUCAUGUUGCAAUGGAUUACAUCUGAAAAGUCAAAGUAACAGAAAAAUGCAGUUUGCUUUCAUCUCUGUGGCUACAUGGCAUUAUGCAACAUGACUUUUGGAAAAAUUGUAAGAGAUUGAACAUAUUCUGGAUUUGUGGCAGUAUUUGUAUUUACAAACCAACCAACAGGCUGAAUGGGACAGAAGCUGUGAGACCUACUGAUACAAUCACUUGGCAAGAGAUCCCCUGCUAUGAGUAAGAUACCAUUUUUGUUGUUG